CCUGCCAGGCUUUUUAGUGAUGAUCCCUCGGUGGAAUAAGAAUGUUCAACAGGCAGGCGGGGGCGGUCUAUUCUGAAAAACAAGGUCAUGCCGAUUCCCCCCCUCCUUCUGUCCCGGCACUUGGCAUCAACAAAGGGAUGUUAUAUAACUUCUAUUUAUAACCUACAUGUUCUCUCACUGCAGGCAGAGGAGCGCGCCGGAGAGGGGGAUUUAAUGAGCUCUGAGGACUCUCGCGCCUUUCAGAGCUGGCAUUAGCCAGCUUGUUUUGAAAAGCAGGAGCAAAUGAAGCUGGCAGUUGUGGGUGGACGACCAUUGUAGGUGGAAUCAUGGAAAUGUCAUUCACAAUAUUUCAUUCCCAAGUUUUUCUU
rnacentral:sRNA from 1 species